rnacentral:rRNA from 1 species
UACGAAGGGGGCUAGCGUUGCUCGGAAUCACUGGGCGUAAAGCGCACGUAGGCGGCUUUCUAAGUCAGGGGUGAAAUCCUGGAGCUCAACUCCAGAACUGCCUUUGAUACUGAGGAUCUUGAGUUCGGGAGAGGUGAGUGGAACUGCGAGUGUAGAGGUGAAAUUCGUAGAUAUUCGCAAGAACACCAGUGGCGAAGGCGGCUCACUGGCCCGAUACUGACGCUGAGGCGCGAAAGCGUGGGGAGCA